GUCCACACUCGUCCUGAUCAGUCUUUUUACACUUAGCAGGGGAGGAGUAACAUCUAAAAUGAGUCUGUCGCCAAUUGUCACAUUUGUUUUAGUUUAUAACUAUAAUUGCAGGGCUAGACAAUUGGAUUCGUGGAAAUAAUUAAUUGGUGACUAUGGCUAAAUUAUAAGUUUAACCUCUGUUUGUUAGCUAGCAUUAGCUGCUAACAUACCAUGAGGUACAGCGAUUUACACCGGUUAUCUACUUUUUUCUUUUGGUGACAAUUUGGUAUUUGGAUCGAUUAUGCAUGCAUCAAUUGACCCUUGCGGUCCUACCACGAUCACAAGUUGUAACUGGAAACAACGAUCACAAUUUGUAACUGGAAACAAUGGUAUGGUGUAAUAUAUACGUGUGUCGGACGGUCCUGACUCAUGCACUCUACCAUUUGGCAUUGCCUGUCUUAACCUUGAAUGAUCAGUUGUCAGAUGUAUUGUGUGCUGUAAUGUAUGUACAAAGUAAAAUAAAUUUAAAUGGAAACUCGA